AUUGAACGCUGGCGGCAUGCCUUACACAUGCAAGUCGAACGGUAACAGGUCUUCGGAUGCUGACGAGUGGCGAACGGGUGAGUAAUACAUCGGAACGUGCCUAGUAGUGGGGGAUAACUACUCGAAAGAGUGGCUAAUACCGCAUGAGAUCUACGGAUGAAAGCAGGGGAUCGCAAGACCUUGUGCUACUAGAGCGGCCGAUGGCAGAUUAGGUAGUUGGUGGGAUAAAAGCGUACCAAGCCGACGAUCUGUAGCUGGUCUGAGCGGACGAUCAGCCACACUGGGACUGCGAAACGGCCCAGACUCCUACGGGAGGCAGCAGUGGGGAAUUUUGGACAAUGGGCGCAAGCCUGAUCCAGCAAUGCCGCGUGCAGGAUGAAGGCCUUCGGGUUGUAAACUGCUUUUGUACGGAACGAAAAGCCCUGGGUUAAUACCCUGGGGUCAUGACGGUACCGUAAGAAUAAGCACCGGCUAACUACGUGCCAGCAGCCGCCGUAAGAC
rnacentral:rRNA from 1 species